AUGUCUAGAAAAGAUUCGAUCAUGCUCCAGAGUCGAUAUGCAGCUGCUCGGUUACACGAUAUUGUCAAGGGUCUCCAAACGAGAAGGAAAGAGCUCAUCCGUGAGAAAAAAUGGGGUAAUCUGCUUAAUAUUAGCAACUUCUCAGCUCCAGAGGGUCUCCUAGAAUGGAUCAUUGACAGGAUUGACCCGAAGCUAGGUGAAUUUCGGAAUCCACGAAACAAUACCAGCAUUCUAUUCACUGCAAAAAUGGUUGAAAAGGUUCUCGGACUUCCUGCUGGUACUAGGCCUGUGGUUAUCAUAAGCAAGCAUGAAGAAUCACCUCACCGAGAAUUCUACAAGACGGACUUUCCACAUGGGAGACGGGCGCCCAUUUAA
rnacentral:rRNA from 1 species